GCAAGUCGAACGGUAACAUGAGAGCUUGCUCUUGAUGACGAGUGGCGCACGGGUGCGUAACGCGUAUGCAACCUACCCUUAACUGGGGGAUAGCCCGGAGAAAUUCGGAUUAAUACCCCAUGGCACUAUAGUUUAGCAUUAUAAAUUAGUUAAAGAUUCAGUGGUAAAAGAUGGGCAUGCGUGACAUUAGUUAGUUGGUGAGGUAACGGCUUACCAAGACGGUGAUGUCUAGGGGUUCUGAGAGGAAGGUC
rnacentral:rRNA from 1 species